AAUCUUAGACAAUGGGCGCAAGCCUGAUCUAGCCAUGCCGCGUGAGUGAAGAAGGCCUUAGGGUCGUAAAGCUCUUUCGCUGGGGAAGAUAAUGACUGUACCCAGUAAAGAAACCCCGGCUAACUCCGUGCCAGCAGCCGCGGUAAUACGGAGGGGGUUAGCGUUGUUCGGAAUUACUGGGCGUAAAGCGCGCGUAGGCGGAUCAGAAAGUUGGGGGUGAAAUCCCGGGGCUCAACCUCGGAACUGCCUCCAAAACUCCUGGUCUUGAGUUCGAGAGAGGUGAGUGGAAUUCCGAGUGUAGAGGUGAAAUUCGUAGAUAUUCGGAGGAACACCAGUGGCGAAGGCGGCUCACUGGCUCGAUACUGACGCUGAGGUGCGAAAGUGUGGGGAGCAAACAGGAUUAGAUACCCUGGUAGUCCACACCGUAAACGAUGAAUGCCAGUCGUCGGCAAGCAUGCUUGUCGGUGACACACCUAACGGAUUAAGCAUUCCGCCUGGGGAGUACGGUCGCAAGAUUAAAACUCAAAGGAAUUGACGGGG
rnacentral:rRNA from 1 species